AGUGACAAGUGACAGUUCACUCCUAUAACCUCAAUUUUCUCUUCAAUUUUGACACUCAAAUUUUGGAAUAUUAAAAAAUACAGAAUUGAAAUAUUGUUCAAAAUAGUGAAUAGUGAAACAAAUUAAUCAUGAGGAGAAUUAAUCAAGGCGGACUUGGUCCCAGAGAUAACGAUAGCGAAAAGAAAAAGAGCAGAGAGUCUGUACUUGCAAAUUUAGUCAUAUUUGGAGCACUUGUGGGUGUCAUAAGAGCAUUGCCCUUAAUAAUUCCUUCUUCAUAAUCGCCAGUACCUGCUGAAUAAUGUGGGUGUUUAUCUUGUGAUAAUUUUUGUACAAUUUACACUAUUUGUAAAAAUAUGUUAACUGUAUACUCUGAAUGCAAUAGGUUUCUGUAAUAUUGCAUAUUAGUAUUAUAAUAAAAAUUAUGUAGUAA